UGCCCAGCAACUCCUAUUCCUACCUCCGCGUGGCACCGGCCGGAUUGCGAGCAACCUUACGGAAGAUCGCGUAACCUGAGACGGGUAACCAACCCCAGUGGAAGCUUUGAUCGUAGGCUGACAGGGAAAG
rnacentral:ribozyme from 1 species